UACGUAGGGGGCAAGCGUUGUCCGGAAUCAUUGGGCGUAAAGAGCGUGUAGGCGGCUCGAUAAGUCUGCUGUGAAAGUCCAGGGCUCAACCCUGGGAUGCCGGUGGAUACUGUCGGGCUCGAGUCCGGAAGAGGAGUGUGGAAUUCCUGGUGUAGCGGUGAAAUGCGCAGAUAUCAGGAGGAACACCAAUGGCGAAGGCAGCACUCUGGGACGUGACUGACGCUGAGACGCGAAAGCGUGGGGAGCAAACAGG
rnacentral:rRNA from 1 species